rnacentral:rRNA from 1 species
CCUACGGGCGGCAGCAGUCGAGAAUCAUUCACAAUGGGGGAAACCCUGAUGGUGCGACGCCGCGUGGGGGAAUGAAGGUCUUCGGAUUGUAAACCCCUGUCAUGUGGGAGCAAAUUAAAAAGAUAGUACCACAAGAGGAAGAGACGGCUAACUCUGUGCCAGCAGCCGCGGUAAUACAGAGGUCUCAAGCGUUGUUCGGAAUCACUGGGCGUAAAGCGUGCGUAGGCUGUUUCGUAGGUCGUGUGUGAAAGGCGAGGGCUCAACCCGCGGACGGCACAUGAUACUGCGAGACUAGAGUAAUGGAGGGGGAACCGGAAUUCUCGGUGUAGCAGUGAAAUGCGUAGAUAUCGAGAGGAACACUCGUGGCGAAGGCGGGUUCCUGGACAUUAACUGACGCUGAGGCACGAAGGCCAGGGGAGCGAAAGGGAUUAGAUACCCUUGUAGUC